rnacentral:rRNA from 1 species
UUAUAUGCAGAGNUUGAUCANGGNUCAGAUNGAACGCNGGCGGCANGCNUAACACACGCAAGUCGAGCGGUAGCACANGAGAGCUUGCUNUCCGGGUGACGAGCGGCGGACGGGUGAGUAAUGUCUGGGAAACUGCCUGAUGGAGGGGGAUAACUACUGGAAACGGUAGCUAAUACCGCAUAACGUCUUCGGACCAAAGUGGGGGACCUUCGGGCCUCAUGCCAUCAGAUGUGCCCAGAUGGGAUUAGCUAGUAGGUGGGGUAAUGGCUCACCUAGGCGACGAGCAAUAGCUGGUCUGNGAGAUACCNACACACUGAAUGGCCGCAC